AUGUCCUGCGGGGCGAGGACCCACGGGGCUGCAGACGCAUGGGAUGGAGCCCCAGCGGGUGGGCGGCGGGCGGACACCCACCAGGUCCGAAGCACCGGCCAGGCAGGGUCCUCCGUGCAGGGGCGAGGACAAGGUGCUGCGGCCUCCCAAGGCCAAGGGCCCCAAGCCUACCUGGGACGACGGCCCACGGGCCUGGAGGAGCUUCCCAGAGGGAGCUGGGGCGCCGGGGGGCACGGAGGUCAGCGUGGCCGCCGCCCGGGGCGCCCAGACAUCGCACCCCCUCCCCGAUCCAAAGUGUUUCCGGAAAACAAAACCGGUGGCGCGGGCGGAAGGGGGCGGGCACAGGCGCACCGAGGCCGCCGCUCCGCGCAGGGCCUGCAACAGGUCACCCCGCCGGGCCUCCCGCCGGCCCCGAGCGCCCGGAGCCCGGCACGGCAGGCUGGGGCAGGGUCCGGGCACGCGGGGGGGCCCUGGGCUGAGCGCGGGCGGCAGGCGCGGGACGAGCGGCGCGGGCAGCUCGCGGGGGCCUCGGGCCGGGGGCGGGGGCGGGGGCGUCGGCGGGGCUGGGAGCCGCGGGCCCGAGGCUGCGGGAGGGGACCCGGGGCGGAGGACGAGGCUGAGGCGGCGGCGCCCGGGACGUGGGCGUCGGGGUCCGGGGCCGGGGGCGCGGCGCGGCGGGCGCGUGGCCGGGGCGGGCGCGUGGCCGGGGCGGGGGCGGCGGCGGCGGGGGCGGCGCGCGUCCUUACCUCGGGGCCUCCGCCGUGGCCGUGGCCGUGGCUCCGCGGCCGGCCGGGCAGCGCGGCCCGGGCUCCCUCAGCAGCGCGGCGCGGGCCCCCGCUCCGGGCCCCGCUCGCGCCGCGGCUCCGGCUCCAGCGCCCGCUCGGGCCCCCGCUCCCGCUGCCGCUCCCGCGCCGCCGCCGCCGCCGGCCUCCGCAUGUUGGCGCGGGCCGUCCCCGCCGCGCGGGCGCCCGGCUCGCCCCGGUCUCGCAGCGUCGCUCGCGGCCCGCGCUCACGCCCCGGCGUCGGGGGAGGGCGCGCGCCCACUGCGCAGCCGCGGUCGGCCCGGGGCGCACGGCGCCUCGGCGCGGGGCGGGGCUUGGCGGCCGCGGACGCCGCCGCACGACGGUCGCCGCGCUUUGCGGCCGCUCCGGGACGGCCGGGCCGCGGCCCGCGGGGGGUGUCCGGAGGCGCGCGACCCGCGCGGGGGAGGGCGGGGGGCGGGGGGCGGAGGGGGGUGGGACCCGCGAGUGCGGGGACCGAGCCGGGCCGCGUCCGCCCUCCCGGGGGCGGGGCUCCCGCCGCCCGCCCGGGCCCGCC
rnacentral:lncRNA from 1 species